AUGAGGCGCCUCUCCACCGGAGGGAAGGCACAGGAGUAUCCCAUGGCCCCUAAGGCCCUCUUCCCCAGGGACACGGGGAGGUGGCCUCUCUCCUGCCACAAGUCGCUCCUGUCCCCACUAGCGUCCCCCACCCCAGCCCCAUCAGCGCAAAGCUGCUGCGUCAGCUCCGCGGCCUCCGAGCUCUCCCCACCUGGCUCUGCGCAGCGCCCCGCAGCCCCCGCUUCCGCGGGUCCCGGCCUGGGGCCGAGAGGGCGGGCGCCAGGUGCGCGUGCACCCGGGGCCGCGGAGCAGCGCCGCGCGUGCUUACCUUGCAAGGUCCCAGGCAACUCCAGAGCAAUUACGGGUCCCCGCAGGUUACCUGGCGCUGAUUGUACAACCCGGCCCGAAUCGGGGGACACGCAGCAGGCACUGCCCCGGGGGGAGGAGAGGAAAUCGCCGCGAAUUUGCUUGGACACAUGACCAAAAAGAGGAGAAUUUGAAGAGACAACAAGCUUAUCCAUCAGUUCCAAGGAAAACACCAAGUAGGGACCCCAGAGCCACAAAGUUUUCCUGAAUUGAUGUGGAAGGCAUCAGGAGAGAGCUGGGAACAGAAGUGGUCUAUCUCGUCGAGUUCCUGCUGUUGGGCCAGGUGGGUUUUUUGCCUACUUUAUUUAAUUUGUUCCUUGCAACAACUCUGAGAUGAAGGUGAUAUUGUUCCCAUUUUAUAGAUGAGAGUAAGAGAGAUUAUAGAUUUGCUGAAGCUCAGAAGAUAGGUAAAUGGAGAAGGCUAGAUUGGAGUGCAAGUCUACCCAACUCGAAAAUCUGCUCCUUUUACAACUUUGGAAGAAGAAAAUCACAAACUGGGGAGAAAAAAAAACAUGGAGGCAGAGGUGUUGAGAAAUGAAGGAGCUCGGUGGGGGUUGGGGAGGAGUAUAAGCAAGAGCUGGGAAGUUGUAUGCAUAUGACAUUAAGUAAAUAGUAUGCAGAUGAGAUGCAAAAACCACAUGCAAAUGAGUAAGUGGAGUUUUUUUUAGCCAACCACUCAACUCCAUUUGGCACAAUUGCAGCACAAGGCAUACCUGCCCAAAGCAAGCAGCAUCCAUGCUUCAAGCAGAAAUAACGUCUGAUUGGGUUAGAGAUGCCCCUUGCUCACUCUUGCUGGGAUCCCUUCCUUCAUCCUGCUGCUCUUGUCCUUUGUCCCUCACCCCCCUCAUCCUGAGCCUGAGGCCAAACACACACGCAUCCCUCCCUCCAGACACUCCAGAAGACAGCUGGCCUUGUCAGCCUCCUAAUGGAGUGAUCCUUCACCUCUUGAUCUGUCUCCACUUCUGUUUACCUUCACUGGGAGGCGUUCUGGCCACCUGGGAUCAACAAUUCCCAUUUUCCUGACCCCACUUGUCAAAUGAAUCUCCAGCCCAGUGCCUUCCUUUACCAAAUGGCAGCAGAAAUGAAACGUACCCUUUUAAGUAACUGCCUCUGA
rnacentral:lncRNA from 1 species